rnacentral:rRNA from 1 species
UACGUAGGGUGCAAGCGUUGUCCGGAAUUAUUGGGCGUAAAGAGCUCGUAGGCGGUCUGUUGCGUCGGCUGUGAAAACCCGGGGCUCAACCCCGGGCCUGCAGCCGAUACGGGCAGACUAGAGUUCGGCAGGGGAGACUGGAAUUCCUGGUGUAGCGGUGAAAUGCGCAGAUAUCGGGAGGAACACCAGUGGCGAAGGCGGUUGCCUGGGGCUUUGCUGACGCUGAGGCGCGAAAGCGUGGGGAGCGAUCCGG